CCUACGGGUGGCUGCAGUGAGGAAUAUUGGUCAAUGGACGAGAGUCUGAACCAGCCAAGUAGCGUGAAGGAUGACUGCCCUAUGGGUUGUAAACUUCUUUUAUAAAGGAAUAAAAUGAGGCACGUGUGCCUUUUUGCAUGUACUUUAUGAAUAAGCAUCGGCUAACUCCGUGCCAGCAGCCGCGGUAAUACGGAGGAUCCGAGCGUUAUCCGGAUUUAUUGGGUUUAAAGGGAGCGUAGGCGGGUUGUUAAGUCAGUUGUGAAAGUUUGCGGCUCAACCGUAAAAUUGCAGUUGAUACUGGCAGCCUUGAGUACAGUAGAGGUAGGUGGAAGUCGUGGUGUAGCGGUGAAAUGCUUAGAUAUCACGAAGAACUCCGAUUGCGAAGGCAAUCUGCUGGACUGUAACUGACGCUGAUGCUCGAAAGUGUGGGUAUCAAACAGGAUUAGAUACCCCUGUAGUC
rnacentral:rRNA from 1 species